rnacentral:lncRNA from 1 species
AUGAGACUGAAAGACAUUGAUGGCAUCACUCUCCUCAGCAGCAGUGAUUUUCACCCUUGCACUGUCCACAAACAUCUUCGUCAGCAAUUUGGAUGCUGGGAUGGUUGUGCUUUCUGCUAUACGUCCACUUGCCCAGCAGCUGAAACAGACAGUGUCUUGCUCAGUUGCAUAAGAUGACAAAUGGUCACAUUAAAGAUUGUGCCAAUUUUUUUUAAAAACAAAAAUGACCCAACAUGCAGAAAGUGAGAUUGUGAGAGACAGGUGACAAGUGAGAUGAGAGAGUGUCUUACCUUCUCUGUUCCGUUGAUUUCAAUUGGUUUGAUCAGACUCUCACAGCUGCUCACAGGAGCUGACUGUCCAAUGGACAGAAGACUGAGCACAGCCACAGCAACAUGAAUAAAAUUCAUCAUGGCUCGCCACAUCUACUUUCACAAAGAUCCUAAAUCUGUGUGUCUGAUCGUAGCGCCGAGCUGAUUGUGUCUGCUUUAAGCUAAUACUGGUGCAUUAAAGUUCAGACGUGUGACGUGUGUAGUCAUGAGUUGUUUACACAUGUUGCAAUCAAGUUUAAAGGUAGAUGAAGUGAAAUAUUUAUUGAUUUUUAUUCAGACAACUGAAUAAGGCAUCCACCAUUUGGAACAUGACAAAAGUGUUGAUGUCAGAUGCUUCAUGCUUACUCUAAAAGAAAGACAAAUAACAAAAGCUUGGAAAUUAGUAACCAGUCGCUGCAGCUGGUUUGUUAACACAGAACCGUCUGAGAAGCCAUUAUUUGAAACUUUUGGAAAAGGGCAGGCACUUUCAAAAAAUACCUGGCAGAUGAUUGGAUGAACCAUCUGCCCACCAUGUUGUUUUGAACGAACAGUUGCGGCCGUCACACACACCUACCACGUCCUAAGAUGCCAGUAGCUCCUCACCGGACGCUGAUUGGUUCGGUCCGCUCCUGUUCGGACACAAACCCAUUACUUGAAGCCUGACAAUUCUCGUGUGAUUUCGUGACAUCGCGAGAAUCCAGCAGCUGUGCAAGGAAAGGAAAUUAGAGCGAUAAAACCAAAGAUAUCGGCGAUUAAAUUGCUCUGUGUCCCUUCAGGGCCAGAGACCAAGAUACCCCGUCUGCUCCAGUUGUCCUACGACGUUACCUAUCGUGGGGUUUCAGCUCACAACGCCUUCAACUCUUUGGUUUCCAUCUCUUUUGAGUUAUUUUUUAAUGCUGCCUUCAAAUGGAACUUAUGAUCUCGAUGUAACGACAUGGGAAGUCGUGUACCCGUGCUUGCCAUUCAAGUGAUUAACCCGUGAGAAUAGCGCUACUAGGCAACUGCAACAUGGAUGCCAAAAGACUCUACCUAAGGUUAACUAUUUAGCAAGCUAGCGAGCGGGUAAUGUAAUGCCAGAAAUGCAAAGGCAUAAUGAAAAAGAUGAGGCUGGGAAUAGCAACAUUUUCCUCAGACAUAAAAUUACAAAGAAGAAAAACUCUAUACGACUAAAAUUACAAUAUAUUAACUUACCAUCCACCCUAAUAUGAACUUCCAUGGCCUUAGCCAUUUCUGAAAACGUCAGAAAACACAUCAAUCAAUCAAUCAAUCAAUUUUAUUUGUUACAUGAAUGAAAGGUACAAUUCCAGUGAACUGUAGCCUAAUCCCAUCAGCUUCUACAACUUGUGCAUGUUGUCUUGUCAUGUGCAAGCUGCCCACCCUCUCCAUGAGGACCCGUUUAUAUUAAAGGGGAACUCUGCAGUUUUUUUUAGCUUAUCUUAUCUUAACUGAACAGCGUUGGAGUCAUUGUAAUGGUUAUAUGACUUUUUUUCGGGUUGAAUGGUGGCCAUCUCGCUUCCCCCUGGUGCCUGUGAGCGGAAAAACCACCCUUGCAACUUUGGGCCGGCGAGCCGCCGGCCUCAGCGUCAGGAAGUAUCGCGUGAUAUCAGGUCUCGCGAUGUAACGAAUUGCUUCAUGGGACUGCACACAUACACG